GCAGGCAGAAGCUGGGUGGAUACAGCUCAAAUAUAACAAUUUUUGGUUCGUAGGUUCAAAUCCUACUGCCUGCA
rnacentral:tRNA from 1 species